AGAGUUUGAUCAUGGCUCAGAUUGAACGCUGGCGGCAGGCCUAACACAUGCAAGUCGAACGGUAACAGGAAGCAGCUUGCUGCUUCGCUGACGAGUGGCGGACGGGUGAGUAAUGUCUGGGAAACUGCCUGAUGGAGGGGGAUAACUACUGGAAACGGUAGCUAAUACCGCAUAAUGUCGCAGGACCAAAGAGGGGGACCUUCGGGCCUCUUGCCAUCAGAUGUGCCCAGAUGGGAUUAGCUUGUUGGUGAGGUAACGGCUCACCAAGGCGACGAUCCCUAGCUGGUCUGAGAGGAUGACCAGCCACACUGGAACUGAGACACGGUCCAGACUCCUACGGGAGGCAGCAGUGGGGAAUAUUGCACAAUGGGCGCAAGCCUGAUGCAGCCAUGCCGCGUGUAUGAAGAAGGCCUUCGGGUUGUAAAGUACUUUCAGCGGGGAGGAAGGUGUUGUGGUUAAUAACCGCAGCAAUUGACGUUACCCGCAGAAGAAGCACCGGCUAACUCCGUGCCAGCAGCCGCGGUAAUACGGAGGGUGCAAGCGUUAAUCGGAAUUACUGGGCGUAAAGCGCACGCAGGCGGUCUGUCAAGUCGGAUGUGAAAUCCCCGGGCUCAACCUGGGAACUGCAUUCGAAACUGGCAGGCUUGAGUCUUGUAGAGGGGGGUAGAAUUCCAGGUGUAGCGGUGAAAUGCGUAGAGAUCUGGAGGAAUACCGGUGGCGAAGGCGGCCCCCUGGACAAAGACUGACGCUCAGGUGCGAAAGCGUGGGGAGCAAACAGGAUUAGAUACCCUGGUAGUCCACGCCGUAAACGAUGUCUACUUGGAGGUUGUGCCCUUGAGGCGUGGCUUCCGGAGCUAACGCGUUAAGUAGACCGCCUGGGGAGUACGGCCGCAAGGUUAAAACUCAAAUGAAUUGACGGGGGCCCGCACAAGCGGUGGAGCAUGUGGUUUAAUUCGAUGCAACGCGAAGAACCUUACCUGGUCUUGACAUCCACGGAAGUUUUCAGAGAUGAGAAUGUGCCUUCGGGAACCGUGAGACAGGUGCUGCAUGGCUGUCGUCAGCUCGUGUUGUGAAAUGUUGGGUUAAGUCCCGCAACGAGCGCAACCCUUAUCCUUUGUUGCCAGCGGUCCGGCCGGGAACUCAAAGGAGACUGCCAGUGAUAAACUGGAGGAAGGUGGGGAUGACGUCAAGUCAUCAUGGCCCUUACGACCAGGGCUACACACGUGCUACAAUGGCGCAUACAAAGAGAAGCGACCUCGCGAGAGCAAGCGGACCUCAUAAAGUGCGUCGUAGUCCGGACUGGAGUCUGCAACUCGACUCCAUGAAGUCGGAAUCGCUAGUAAUCGUGGAUCAGAAUGCCACGGUGAAUACGUUCCCGGGCCUUGUACACACCGCCCGUCACACCAUGGGAGUGGGUUGCAAAAGAAGUAGGUAGCUUAACCUUCGGGAGGGCGCUUACCACUUUGUGAUUCAUGACUGGGGUGAAGUCGUAACAAGGUAACCGUAGGGGAACCUGCGGUUGGAUCACCU
rnacentral:rRNA from 1 species